CAAAAUGACUCUCGGCAACGGAUAUCUCGGCUCUUGCAUCGAUGAAGAACGUAGCGAAAUGCGAUACUUGGUGUGAAUUGCAGAAUCCCGUGAACCAUCGAGUCUUUGAACGCAAGUUGCGCCUGAAGCCAUCAGGUUGAAGGCACGUCUGCCUGGGCGUCACGCAU
rnacentral:rRNA from 1 species